GCUUGGUCGGAUAUUUGGGACUGGGCCAGAUGGGAAGGGGUUUGGAUCCUGUAAUAGAGAUGGGCCACCUGAGGUUAGUGUUUGGAGAGUGGGCAUGGGUCGUAAAGAGUAGGCUGAGUUAGUUGGGCUAAAUGGGCUUGAAUGCUAGGGUUUGGGAUUUGUGGAACAACACCACAAUUUUUAUUUUUUUUUUUUAUGAGCAGCAGCAAAAAAAAAUGAGAAAUUUUUUUUUUUAGGCAUGAAAAGUACUCGUGAACAGUAACUUUUUUUUUUUUUUAAGAAACUGACCAAAAUACUAAAUUGAAAUUCUGCGUGAACAGUACCUGCGAUGAACAGUAAACUUUUUUUUUUUUUUCAACUAAGACUGAAAAUUGAAGAAGAAGAAAAAAAACUGCUGCCUUUACCAAAAAUUCUUUUAGUUCGUGCUGUUCCAACAGAUUUUGGGAAGGAAAUAUGAAUAAAUUUUGGAUUAAAGAAAAGAAAUUACCUAUGGUUCGGCUCUGAUACCAAAUUUGAUGUAGGAUGAAUAAGAAAGAAAGAAGAAGGAACGGGGAGGAGAAACAUAGAGAAGGGAGAAGAGGAGAAGAAACUAGGGAAAGAGAGGGGAGGGAGAAAACGGCUGCAAGCCACCAAAAAUAUUUCAAUUCUAAUUCAUCAUCGUCUGAAAAUUACAAUGCAAGAUAGAUUUAAUCAGUAAAGCAACCCUAACGAGCUUGGACCCGAGCCCAUACAAGUCCAAAUUUAAAUAAUAGUCCAAGAAAAUAAAUAAAGCUUAAAUAAAAUAAGUAAACGUCGUCCGAUAUCCUCAUCAGAAUGUCAUAGAGUUGAUUCCAUUGAAAUCAUCGAAAUAAGGAGCUACGUGGAGUAAACAAACAAACUGAGUUCCGGCUUUAAUUAAAAACAAGCAAAACAGAAUAAAUAGGUAACGAAUCCAAGAAAAUACUCAAAUGUGUCUUUAUUAUGCAUGUCUUUUAAUUCCCGUUAAUUUUUUUUUACUGUUGUUUUCUAUAUGCUAGUCAUUCCUUUUUUUUUUUAAUGACCAUGGGUGUCCGAGCCAGUUCACGUGCACCUCGAUUAAUCCCACGGGGCCCUAAAGUUUACAAUCAAAUACUCACCUCAGUGGCCUGGCCUAUAGGGAACUCGAAUUGGUGACCACUGGAGAGCAAAUCCAAAAUCUGAUCACUGAGCUAUCCACACAUUAAAAACAAAUAUCUGGAAGCAAUCAGAUUUCUUCCUAUUGUGCAUGUGCCAAGGAUUGUCUUCAUAGUUUUUAUUGUCAUUCCUGUCUGUGUCCAAAACAUACUUGUAACAAUUAAAGACGAGACAUAAUGAAACCAAAAGACGAAAAACGUUAUAAAUACACAUGAAAGUCAUGACAUUCUUAGAAGGAUAGACAGAUAGAAGCAGGUAAGUGCUAAGGAAGAAAUUGGAGAAAGAAAAGGGGAAUCAAAUAUGGAACUG
rnacentral:lncRNA from 1 species